rnacentral:rRNA from 1 species
GACGAACGCUGGCGGCGUGCCUAAUACAUGCAAGUAGGACGCACAGUCUAUACCGUCGCUUGCUACACCAUAGGCUGUGAGUUGCGAACGGGUGAGUAACGCGUAGGUAACCUGCCUAUUAGAGGGGGAUAACUAUUGGAAACGAUAGCUAAUACCGCAUAACAGUAUGUAACACAUGUUAGAUGCUUGAAAGAUGCAAUUGCAUCGCUAGUAGAUGGACCUGCGUUGUAUUAGCUAGUAGGUAGGGUAAUGGCCUACCUAGGCGACGAUACAUAGCCGACCUGAGAGGGUGAUCGGCCACACUGGGACUGAGACACGGCCCAGACUCCUACGGGAGGCAGCAGUAGGGAAUCUUCGGCAAUGGGGGGAACCCUGACCGAGCAACGCCGCGUGAGUGAAGAAGGGUUUCGGAUCGUAAAGCUCUGUUGUUAAGGAAGAACGAGUGUGAGAAUGGAAAGUUCAUACUGUGACGGUACUUAACCAGAAAGGGACGGCUAACUACGUG